GAUGAACGCUGGCGGCGUGCCUAAUACAUGCAAGUCGAGCGAACAGACGAGGAGCUUGCUCCUCUGACGUUAGCGGCGGACGGGUGAGUAACACGUGGAUAACCUACCUAUAAGACUGGGAUAACUUCGGGAAACCGGAGCUAAUACCGGAUAAUAUAUUGAACCGCAUGGUUCAAUAGUGAAAGACGGUUUUGCUGUCAUUUAUAGAUGCAUCCGCGCCUCAUUAGCUAGUUGGUAAGGUAACGGCUUACCAAGGCAACGAUGCGUAGCCGACCUGAGAGGGUGAUCGGCCACACAGGAACUGAGACACGGUCCAGACUCCUACGGGAGGCAGCAGUAGGGAAUCUUCCGCAAUGGGCGAAAGCCUGACGGAGCAACGCCGCGUGAGUGAUGAAGGUCUUCGGAUCGUAAAACUCUGUUAUUAGGGAAGAACAAAUGUGUAAGUAACUAUGCACGUCUUGACGGUACCUAAUCAGAAAGCCACGGCUAAAUACGUG
rnacentral:rRNA from 1 species